UACGUAGGGUGCGAGCGUUGUCCGGAAUUAUUGGGCGUAAAGGGCUCGUAGGCGGUUUGUCACGUCGGGAGUGAAAACUCGGGGCUUAACCCCGAGCCUGCUUCCGAUACGGGCUGACUAGAGGUAUGCAGGGGAGAACGGAAUUCCUGGUGUAGCGGUGAAAUGCGCAGAUAUCGUUAGGAACUCCGGUGGCGAAGGCGGCACGCUAGACCUCUUCUGACGCUGAGGCACGAAAGCCAGGGGAGCGAACGGG
rnacentral:rRNA from 1 species